AUCCUUGUGCGGGAGCAGUACCAUAGCUGAUGAAGUUCAUACUGAGGCAUGGUUAUUCGCUUUUUGAAAACUAAAAUCCAAAACCCAGGCUACGCCUGAAACAUGGCGGAGUCUAAUUUUUGGAGCCGGUUCUCGCCG